rnacentral:rRNA from 1 species
UUAAAAAGCUCGUAGUUGGAUUUCUGCGGGAGACGAAGGGUCUACCUUACGGGUAAGUAUCUCUCAGGCUCCUGCAUCCUCAACAGGAACGUCGCUGCGGUUCAUUUCGUGGUACGGUACUGUUGACUUUUACUUUGAGGAAAUUAGAGUGUUCACGGCAAGCAAACGCGUGUAUACAUUAGCAUGGAAUAAUAAUAUAGGACCUUGGAUCUAUUUUGUUGGUUUCUAGAACUAAGGUAAUGAUAAAUAGGGACAGUUUGGGGGCAUUUGUACUAACGCGUCAGAGGUGGAAUUCUUGGAUUGCGUUAUGACAAACUACUGCGAAAGCAUUUGCCAAGGAUGUUUUCAUUGAUCAAGAACGAAAGUAUGGGGAUCGAAGACGAUUAGAUACCGUCGUAGUCUAUACCAUAAACUAUGCCAACUAGGAAUGAGACGGAUGUAUAUUUAUGACCCGUUUCGCGCCUUAUGANAAAUC